AAUAGCGGAGGAAAAGAAACCAACCGGGAUUGCCUUAGUAACGGCGAGUGAAGCGGCAAAAGCUCAAAUUUGAAAUCUGGUACCUUCGGUGCCCGAGUUGUAAUUUGGAGAGGGCAACUUUGGGGCCGUUCCUUGUCUAUGUUCCUUGGAACAGGACGUCAUAGAGGGUGAGAAUCCCGUGUGGCGAGGAGUGCGGUUCUUUGUAAAGUGCCUUCGAAGAGUCGAGUUGUUUGGGAAUGCAGCUCUAAGUGGGUGGUAAAUUCCAUCUAAAGCUAAAUAUUGGCGAGAGACCGAUAGCGAACAAGUACAGUGAUGGAAAGAUGAAAAGAACUUUGAAAAGAGAGUGAAAAAGUACGUGAAAUUGUUGAAAGGGAAGGGCAUUUGAUCAGACAUGGUGUUUUGUGCCCUCUGCUCCUUGUGGGUAGGGGAAUCUCGCAUUUCACUGGGCCAGCAUCAGUUUUGGUGGCAGGAUAAAUCCAUAGGAAUGUAGCUUGCCUCGGUAAGUAUUAUAGCCUGUGGGAAUACUGCCAGCUGGGACUGAGGACUGCGACGUAAGUCAAGGAUGCUGGCAUAAUGGUUAUAUGCCGCCCGUCUUGAA
rnacentral:rRNA from 1 species